UGCAUCGUUGGUGUAAUGAUAUCAUGCAAGAUUUCCAUUCUUGCGACCCGGGUUCAAUUCCCGAGCGGCGCAG